CAUCGCAAGGUGGAAUCUGAAGGAAUCCGGAUGUGAGGAACAUACUAACUCACGGGCAAAUCUCUAGUCUGACGAACAGAAAUCUCAUACGAGGUUAUGCAUGGGGGUAAGGUUGCAAUCCAAGUCGAAGCCCAAUAACCACACGGAAUCAUGCAUGAUAAAUGAGGCAGAUGGAUGGAGAGGAAGAA
rnacentral:ncRNA from 1 species